rnacentral:rRNA from 1 species
CUUGCUUGACGUUAGCUCCGGAGGAAGCCACGGCUAACUCUGUGCCAGCAGCCACGGUAAUACAGAGGUGGCAAGCGUUGUUCGGAAUUAUUGGGCGUAAAGAGCACGUAGGCGGCCCUGCAAGUCAGCUGUGAAAUCCUUCUGCUCAACGGAAGAACGGCAGUUGAUACUACAGGGCUCGAGUGCGGGAGGGGAGAGUGGAACUUCUGGU